AGCAGCCGCGGUAAUUCCAGCUCCAAUAGCGUAUAUUAAAGUUGUUGCAGUUAAAAAGCUCGUAGUUGAAUUUCGAGACCGGUCUACUGGUCGUGCUUUUGUACGUACUGGUAUAAUCGGUUUCUCUCUUCUGACGAACUAUAAUGCCAUUAAUUUGGUGUUUUAGGGAAUCAGGACUGUUACUUUGAAAAAAUUAGAGUGUUUAAAGCAGGCUCACGCUUGAAUACAUUAGCAUGGAAUAACGAAAUAGGACGUUUGAUUCUAUUUUGUUGGUUUCUAGGAUCGACGUAAUGAUUAAUAGGGAUAGUUGGGGGCAUUAGUAUUCAAUUGUCAGAGGUGAAAUUCUUGGAUUUAUUGAAGACUAACUACUGCGAAAGCAUUUGCCAAGGAUGUUUUCAUUAAUCAAGAACGAAAGUUAGGGGAUCGAAGACGAUCAGAUACCGUCGUAGUCUUAACCAUAAACUAUGCCGACUAGGGAUCGGAUGAUGUUAAUUUUAUAAUGACUCAUUCGGCGCCUUACG
rnacentral:rRNA from 1 species